rnacentral:rRNA from 1 species
AUUGAACGCUGGCGGCAGGCCUAACACAUGCAAGUCGAGCGAGCGGCGGACGGGUGAGUAAUGUCUGGGAAACUGCCUGAUGGAGGGGGAUAACUACUGGAAACGGUAGCUAAUACCGCAUACCAUCAGAUGUGCCCAGAUGGGAUUAGCUAGUAGGUGUGGUAAUGGCUCACCUAGGCGACGAUCCCUAGCUGGUCUGAGAGGAUGACCAGCCUCACUGGAACUGAGACACGGCCCAGACGCCGCAGGUGGGCAGCAGGGGGGAAUAUUGCACAAUGGGCGCAAGCCUGAUGCAGCCAUGCCGCGUGUAUGAAGAAGGCCUUCGGGUUGUAAAGUACUUUCAGCGAGGAGGCGUUACUCGCAGAAGAAGCACCGGCUAACUCCGUGCCAGCCGCCGCGGUAAUUC